rnacentral:tRNA from 1 species
UCCUUGGUGGUCCAGAUGGUAAAGAAUCCACCUGCAAUGUGGAAGACCUGGGUUCGAUUCCUGGGCUGGGAA